CUGCAGAGCCUGUGGUGAGAGAGCAGGAAGCAAUGGAUUGCAGGAGGCUGGAGUGGUGUUGAAUAUUUGUGUUGCUGGAAGUAUAUGUGAGAGGAGAUGUAGAAAAUGUGGCAUCGUGGUUACUGGCAAGAUGUGCAGUGCCGAGGAGGAAAAUCUGAUGAGGAAUCCCCAGCAUCGUAAAUGGAUAAUGUGGUGUUGACUGGAGUGAGAAGCAGCAGCAUUUCCCAGCAAAGAGCACGCAUGCUGAGCUUCUGUGGCUGGUAAAACACAGCAGGUGGGUAUGCAUUUAGAUGUAAGUCAUGUCCUCUAGGUAAACCAAUUACCUCGAUUGCGGAAUCACAGAAUUGCAAGGGUUGGAAGGGACCUCUGGAGAUCAUCCAGUCCAACUCCCCGCUACAGCAACUCCCUACGGUAGGUCACAAAGGUAGGCAUCCAGGUGAAUCUUGAAUAUCUCCAGAGAAGGAGACUCCACAACCUUUUUGGUCAGCCUGUUCCAGUGCUCCGUCACCCUCACUGUAAAAAAGUUCUUCUGCAUAUUUGUUUGGAACUUCCUACGUUUCAUUUUUUUGGCCAUUGCUCCUUGUCUUAUCACUGCACGCCACUGAAAGGAAUCUGGACUCAUCCAGUUGCCUCCCGCACGUUAGAUGCUUAUAAACAUUG
rnacentral:lncRNA from 1 species